AUGUGAGGGCCAUUGGGCAGUGACAUCCGUCACCGCACUGAUGGCCAGGGUUUAUUCGGCUAACGUGGCUGGCCCCUUUCUCUUGAACUGCUCGGCGUGUGUCCAUCCCCAAACUGUGUGCUCAAUGGAAGAGGAUGACCUUUCCUGAGACAGGAGGAUCAUUCUUUGGUCAAGGGCAUAUGAGUGGCUGAGCUUCCCUGCUAGACCCUCCAGAAAAGCUCUCAAGGUCUAUUUGUAGGACAACCUUGUGUGGUCAAGCUUCCAAGACUCCAGACACAUCUAAAUGAAGUGCUGCCUGUGGGAGGCUGCCCUUCUUU
rfam:Sus scrofa chromosome 8.